CUACGAGCGGCUCCAGGUAGGGAAAUUUUACAAUGCACGAAAGUGUGAUAAAGCGAGCCAGAGUGUUUUUCUUUUAAGAAAAACUUUUAUUUGUUGUAAAAAGACAGAUGAAUAAGGACUGGGAGAGACCGGUGCCAGCCGCCGCGGUAAUACCGGCGGUCCAAGUCGCAGCCACAAUUAUUGGGUCUAAAACAUCCGUAGCUCGUUUAGUAAGUUCUUUGUGAAAUCUUAUCUCUUAAGGGUAAGGCGUGCAAGGAAUACUGCUAGACUAGAGACUGGAAGAAGUAAGAAGUACAGUUGAGGUAGUGGUAAAAUACGUUAAUCUUGACUGGACUAACAACAGCGAAGGCAUCUUACUAGUACAGAUCUGACAGUGAGGGAUGAAGGCUAGGGUCGCAAAACGGAUUAGAUACGCUAGUAGUC
rnacentral:rRNA from 1 species